CACCACCAGGAGUGGAGCCUGCGGCU
rnacentral:ncRNA from 5 species